ACAGAAAAUAAGUAGUCAUAGGCACCUCUCAUUUACAAUGUUUGAUGAUUUGUUGAAUCAUGACAAUGUGCCAUGAUUGUAUGUAUAAUUUCAUCAUCUUUCAUACCACAGUGGUCAUAAUCUUAUCAUUAAGGGUUCUGUCAUGUUCCAGAAGUCACUGGCCAUUUUUGCCUUCAAUUUGGUUGCCAGUUAAAAUAUUUAUAUAAUUAUUUUAUAAAUAUUUGGUAUAAAUGUUGAAUUAAUAUUAAAAUAAAGUUAUUGACUGUUAUUUUUAUACAAAAUUUAAGAAAAUAUUGUAAUAUGCUUUUUUAUAACACUUGUGCCAAUGUCCUGUAUGGCUGACAUAUUCUGGGUAUUGCAUCUCAUUUUUGUUGGUCAUAAAUUAUUUUUAAUGUUAAUCAAAGUUAAAUUGAUUGUUAAAAAUUUAUUUACCAGCUAAUUAAUAAUUAUAUCACAGAAAAUAUAUUUCGAUCUUAUUAAAUUAUAUCUUUAAAUUAUAAUGCAAUCCUCUAUAGAACUAAAUUACCCCCUUUGUUUUAUUCUAUUUAAUUUAUUGAGGAGAGAGAUGACUUUAGAUGAGGAACUCCACUGGAAAGACAAAUCAUCCAGGGAAAGAUUUCAACAACUAGGUGCCGUAACAGGAAGCCUUUCAUUUGGUGAAUCAACAUCUAAGUUCUGCACUAGGAACAAUAAAAAUUCCCAGUUCUCUGUUGAGAGUGUUGACAACUCAGGAGCAGUCAACACCAAAAGAUGAAAAGAAGAGAAAUUGUAUCCUUUUUGUGAGAUGAUAUCUGAUGGAUAAGUAAGAUGGUAAAAACCGAUCUGAAGUAUUAAGAAUGCCACUCUGGAUCUCGAUGGCCAGAAGAAACUUGAAAACCAUCAAGUACUAUGACUACAAAUAACAAGAAGAAAGAAAAGCAAUAAGAACCUCAUCAACAAAUAAUACCUCUCUCUUUCCAUGUACAUUAUCUAAGUAGGUUCACUUCCCUGGCAAAAACAAGUUGCUAGCUCUGUGUUUGGCAAACUCAUCUAUCUUUACAUCUUAUUUAACUGCUCUCUACUAUAUUUUUAACAAAUACUUUUAUUAGUUUACAUUCAAGUGAUUGUUGCCUUCUUUCUGCCUUGGACCUUGUGGGCUACUUAUUCACACCCCCAUAAAAUGAACAGAUAACUCACAAAUCUUACAAUUCUCUACUGUGAAAGCAAAGUUAAAGAUUUUGGAAUAUUUCAGAAUAUUGGAUUAGAGAUACUUUACCUGUAAUAAUUCUAAAC
rnacentral:lncRNA from 1 species